UACGUAGGGUGCGAGCGUUGUCCGGAAUUAUUGGGCGUAAAGGGCUCGUAGGCGGUCUGUCGCGUCGGUAGUGAAAACUCAGGGCUUAACCCUGAGCCUGCUUCCGAUACGGGCAGACUAGAGGUAUGCAGGGGAGAAUGGAAUUCCUGGUGUAGCGGUGAAAUGCGCAGAUAUCGGGAGGAACACCGGUGGCGAAGGCGGUUCUCUGGGCCUUACCUGACGCUGAGGAGCGAAAGCGUGGGGAGCGAACAGG
rnacentral:rRNA from 1 species